rnacentral:rRNA from 1 species
GAUGAACGCUAGCGGCAGGCCUAACACAUGCAAGUCGAACGGUAACAGGGAUUGCUUGCAAUCCGCUGACGAGUGGCGCACGGGUGCGUAACGCGUAUAGAACCUACCCUUUACAGGGGGAUAGCCCGGAGAAAUUCGGAUUAAUACCCCAUGGUAAUGCUUCGGGGCAUCCUGAAGUGUUUAAAGUUUCGGCGGUAAAGGAUGGCUAUGCGUCUUAUUAGUUAGUAGGUGAGGUAACGGCUCACCUAGACAGCGAUAAGUGGGGGCCCUGAGAGGGGGAUCCCCACACUGGUACUGAGACACGGACCAGACUCCUACGGGAGGCAGCAGUGAGGAAUAUUGGACAAUGGUCGAGAGACUGAUCCAGCCAUGCCGCGUGCAGGAAGACGGCCCUAUGGGUUGUAAACUGCUUUUUUACGGGAAGAAUAAUGCCCACGUGUGGGCAGAUGACGGUACCGUAGGAAUAAGGACCGGCUAACUCCGUG